CAGCCGCGGUAAUACGAAGGGUGCAAGCGUUACUCGGAAUUACUGGGCGUAAAGCGUGCGUAGGUGGUUUGUUAAGUCUCAUGGUGAAAGGCCGGGGCUCAACCCCGAGCAUGCCGGGGAUACUGGGGGGCUGGAGACAGGUAGAGGCCAGCGGAAUUCCGGGUGUAGCGGUGGAAUGCGUAGAGAUCCGGAAGAACACCGGAGGCGAAGGCGGCUGGCUGGACCUGAUCUGACGCUGAGGUGCGAAAGCGUGGGGAGCGAA
rnacentral:rRNA from 1 species